rnacentral:misc_RNA from 1 species
UGGUUCUGGCAUCGAUGAAGAACGCAGCGAAAUGCGAUAAGUAAUGCGAAUUGCAGAAUUCAGUGAGUCAUCGAAUCUUUGAACGCACAUUGCGCCCUUUGGUAUUCCGAAGGGCAUGCCUGUUCGAGCGUCAUUAUCAACCAUCAAGCCUGGCUUGUCGUUGGACCCCUUUGUCGCCUGGCGACAGAUCCAAAAGAUAAUGACCGGCGUCGUGGUGACCCUAUAUGCAACGAGCUUGUAAGAGCACGCACUUAGUGGUCGUCCGGCUCGGUUGUCACCCUUUAUUUUCUCAAGGUUGACCUCGGAUCAGGUAGGAAUACCCGCUGA